GUUACUACGCGUAUACGCAUAACCGCUACCCGCAGAACGGUGACGCAUCAUUGGUUUCAUUUUUAUUCUUCGCUUUUUGUUUUCUUCCCGUUGUAAUGCGUUUUUUUCUAGAACAAAAAGGGACAUCAUAAAUUGCGAAUAGUUAUUAUUGUCAUUGAAACGUUCGGGCACGAAAACUGAUAGUUUUUACAUUCCGAACACGG